AUACAUAUCUACCUCCAUCACUCCAGUAUCCCUGCACAUUUAAAUAUGGUAUUGGAUCUGACUUUUUAAAUAUUUCCUGUAUAUAGUAUACUUACUUUAUUGUGUAUUUCAUUUACUUAUUCUUAUUUCUUGUGUGUUUUGUCUAGUAUUACAUUGUUUUUGAUUAUUGCACUGUUGGGUUUUGAAUUUGCAAGAAAGGCAUUUGACUGUUCUGUGUUGUAACAUAAAAAAACUUGGUGGAGAAAUAAACAUUCAAUAAACAUUCAAUUUUCUGGCAACAGCUCUGGUGGACAUUCCAGAGGUCAGGAUGCCAAUCGCACGCUCCCUCAAAACUUGAGAGAUCUUUGGUAUUAUGUUGUGUGUCAAAACUGCACAUUUUAGAGUGGCCUUUUAUGUCCCCAGCACAAGGCACAGCUGUGUAAUGAUCAUGCUGUUUAAUCAGCUUCUUGAUAUGCCACACCUAUCAGGUGGAUGGAUUAUCUUGGCAAAGGAUAAAUGCUCACUAACAGGGAUGUAAACCAAUUUGUGCAUAGAAUUUGAGAGAAAUAAGGUCUUUGUGCGAUUGGUAAAUUUCUGUGAUCUUUUAUUUCAGCUCAUGAAACAUAGGACCAACACUUUACAUUUAUAUUUUUGUUCAGCGUAGGUCACAUCGAUCACCACCUUUGUGAAGGGGGAGUACCAGAGCCGUCUUCCAAACCUUGGUGAUAGUACCAGAUAUAAUCAGGUUAAAGAUAUGGGUAAAUUAUUCAGCAAGCAGGGGGUGGUGCGGACAGAACAUACUGAUUCACCAGUAGUUGAGAGGUUAACCGUGGAGUCAGCUGGAGGCUGGGAGAGGGAAGAGCAACAAACUGACUGACCAAGGUUAUUUAAACCACCAUUCCUCUCAAAUAAAUAGCCUGACAAAAUAAAAUGAUUAAAAGCAUCCCGUAUCACACUUUUUUCAGUAAUGAUGCCAGUGUCUGACAAAACGUGCGUAGGCAGAGAAGGGGAAGAAUUUGCACACUUCAGGGAAUUCACUGUUUUUAAAAAAUUGGAAGGAGUCAGAUAAAAAGCUGAUUGAUUUUGUUGUCUUAAGCACAGGAGGUUGGUGGCACCUUGGUUGGGGAGGACAGGCUUGUGGUAAUGUCUGGAGAGGAAUGACUGGAAUGGGAUCAAAUACAUUAAACACCUGGUUUCUAUUUGUCUGUUCCAGCCAUUAUUAUGAGCCGUCCUCCCCUCAACAGCCUCCACUGUUCUUAACCCUUUACACUCGUGGGAACUGGCCUACAGUAUAUGGAUAAGGCUAAAUUGAAGUGUGUGUGUGUUUAAAAUGUUUCUUACAGAAGAAAUAUGAAAGUGUAUGCAUAACCAUGGUAGCAAUGGAAAGGGAACAGUUUGGUGAUUAUAGGAACAUUACUAGACUAAAGGUGAGGACACAACAAUUCACCAGACACAAGACUAAAUCCAAACAUUACACUGUCGAUUUUAUGUGCAUUUUACAUUUACUGUACUUGUUGCCGCAUUUGUUUAACGAAAUUAGAAAAUACUCUGGAUACAUUCAGUAACAUGAUACGAAUAUUUCUGGAAAAUGUGUGGUAGGUGCAACAUAAGACAAAGAAAAUGACAAGGGUUUGAGUGAGAGGACUAACUGGUGUCUCCAAGUGGACACACACCUCUGUAAAGUGUACACAGUUCUCUAAGUCAUUUCAAUGCACUUCUAUGACUCAAAGAAGAGUCUUCAGCUAACUAUAAGGUACUUUUUUGAGCUCUCUGAACUGUGCCAUUGAGGAUGUAGUGCAAGUACGCUUGUAGUUGUGGUGUUUGGAACACAACCUUGCAUCCCCGCCAUCACACAAUUACUGUUGUUGUUUACGCAAUCCAGAAACGGUCCAUUAUAAAUCAGGGUCAGGUGUGCAUCGUUUGAAAGCCUGUUCUAUUACCAACAUGACUAGCUAAGUUAUAAAAUAGGAUAGUACAGUGUCAGGCUUUCACAAUGCAAUUCAGGGAAAUUGAUCAUCAUUUUGGAGCGGAUAGAAAGGAGUCAUCAGUCCACUCUGGUACGUGUUUCGUGGCAAAUUUCCUUCACAAUAGACAAACACAGGCUCAUUCUGUUCAGAACAUCCAGGGUAUGACAUGUCAUCUUGUAACUGUACAUCUAACAGGCUCAUUCUGUUCAGGACAACCCAGGGUAUGACAUGUCAUCUUGUAACUGUACAACUAACAGGCUCAUUCUGUUCAGAACAACCCAGGGUAUGACCAUGUCAUCUUGUAACUGUACAGCUAACAUGCUCAUUCUGUUCAGAACAACCCAGGGUAUGACAUGUCAUCUUGUAACUGUACAACUAACAGACUCAUUCUGUUCAGAACAACCCAGGGUAUGACGACAUGUCAUCUUGUAACUGUACAACUAACAGACUCAUUCUGUUCAGAACAACCCAGGGUAUGACGACAUGUCAUCUUGUAACUGUACAACUAACAGGCUCAUUCUGUUCAGAACAACCCAGGGUAUGACGACAUGUCAUCUUGUAACUGUACAACUAACAGACUCAUUCUGUUCAGAACAACCCAGGGUAUGACCAUGUCAUCUUGUAACUGUACAGCUAACAGACUCAUUCUGUUCAGAACAACCCAGUGUAUGACAUGUCAUCUUGUAACUGUACAACUAACAGACUCAUUCUGUUCAGAACAACCCAGGGUAUGACGACAUGUCAUCUUGUAACUGUACAACUAACAGACUCAUUCUAUUCAGAACAACCCAGGGUAUGACGACAUGUCAUCUUGUAACUGUACAACUAACAGGCUCAUUCUGUUCAGAACAACCCAGGGUAUGACAUGUCAUCUUGUAACUGUACAACUAACAGACUCAUUCUGUUCAGAACAACCCAGGGUAUGACAUGUCAUCUUGUAACUGUACAGCUAACAGGCUCAUUCUGUUCAGAACAACCCAGGGUAUGACGACAUGUCAUCUUGUAACUGUACAUCUAACAGGCUCAUUCUGUUCAGAACAACCCAGGGUAUGACCAUGUCAUCUUGUAACUGUACAUCUAACAGGCUCAUUCUGUUCAGAACAACCCAGGGUAUGACCAUGUCAUCUUGUAACUGUACAUCUAACAGGCUCAUUCUGUUCAGAACAACCCAGGGUAUGACCAUGUCAUCUUGUAACUGUACAGCUAACAGACUCAUUCUGUUCAGAACAACCCAGGGUAUGACAUAUCAUCUUGUAACUGUACAACUAACAGACUCAUUCUGUUCAGAACAACCCAGGGUAUGACGACAUGUCAUCUUGUAACUGUACAACUAACAGACUCAUUCUGUUCAGAACAACCCAGGGUAUGACGACAUGUCAUCAUGUAACUGUACAACUAACAGACUCAUUCUGUUCAGAACAACCCAGGGUAUGACGACAUGUCAUCUUGUAACUGUACAACUAACAGACUCAUUCUGUUCAGAACAACCCAGGGUAUGACGACAUGUCAUCUUGUAACUGUACAACUAACAGGCUCAUUCUGUUCAGAACAACCCAGGGUAUGACGACAUGUCAUCUUGUAACUGUACAACUAACAGACUCAUUCUGUUCAGAACAACCCAGGGUAUGACCAUGUCAUCUUGUAACUGUACAGCUAACAGACUCAUUCUGUUCAGAACAACCCAGUGUAUGACAUGUCAUCUUGUAACUGUACAACUAACAGACUCAUUCUGUUCAGAACAACCCAGGGUAUGACGACAUGUCAUCUUGUAACUGUACAACUAACAGACUCAUUCUAUUCAGAACAACCCAGGGUAUGACGACAUGUCAUCUUGUAACUGUACAACUAACAGGCUCAUUCUGUUCAGAACAACCCAGGGUAUGACAUGUCAUCUUGUAACUGUACAACUAACAGACUCAUUCUGUUCAGAACAACCCAGGGUAUGACAUGUCAUCUUGUAACUGUACAGCUAACAGGCUCAUUCUGUUCAGAACAACCCAGGGUAUGACGACAUGUCAUCUUGUAACUGUACAUCUAACAGGCUCAUUCUGUUCAGAACAACCCAGGGUAUGACCAUGUCAUCUUGUAACUGUACAGCUAACAGGCUCAUUCUGUUCAGAACAACCCAGGGUAUGACUAUGUCAUCUUGUAACUGUACAUCUAACAGGCUCAUUCUGUUCAGAACAACCCAGGGUAUGACACCAUGUCAUCUUGUAACUGCACAACUAACAGACUCAUUCUGUUCAGGACAACCCAGGGUAUGACCAUGUCAUCUUGUAACUGUACAACUAACAGACUCAUUCUAUUCAGAACAACCCAGGGUAUGACGACAUGUCAUCUUGUAACUGUACAGCUAACAGACUCAUUCUGUUCAGAACAACCCAGGGUAUGACACCAUGUCAUCUUGUAAAUGUACAGCUAACAGACUCAUUCUGUUCAGAACAACCCAGGGUAUGACACCAUGUCAUCUUGUAACUGUACAGCUAACAGGCUCAUUCUGUUCAGAACAACCCAGGGUAUGACACCAUGUCAUCUUGUAACUGUACAGCUAACAGGCUCAUUCUGUUCAGAACAACCCAGGGUAUGACCAUGUCAUCUUGUAACUGUACAGCUAACAGGCUCAUUCUGUUCAGAACAACCCAGGGUAUGACCAUGUCAUCUUGUAACUGUACAGCUAACAGACUCAUUCUGUUCAGAACAACCCAGGGUAUGACCAUGUCAUCUUGUAACUGUACAGCUAACAGACUCAUUCUGUUCAGAACAACCCAGGGUAUGACCAUGUCAUCUUGUAACUGUACCUCUAACAUAGCGAUCACAAACGUCAACACAUGUGGACUAACUGGUGUUUGGCUUGCUUAUAUGACAUCAAAGCGUUAUUUACUAUACUCCUCAACAUGUCAUAUUUCAGAUCACAUAGAGUCAUCUUAAUGUACAGUAUUUCCCUCACUCAGACAAACAAACGUGCAAAAGUUGUCCAAUCAGCAGAAGGGAUGGGGGCAACUUCUAGUUGCACGAGGUGCUGAAGUUCAGAAUGUCUGUCAGUCAAAAUCCAUACAGAGCUGUGAAGUGGAGAGCCUGAGCUCUGACGUCAUGUAUAGAACGUUACUGUACAUCCACAGCUUUCCAAUUUAGGCAUUUAUCAGUGUCCAAAUCUGCCAUUUUUAACUCGUGUACAGGUACAGUACAAGUGUAGAGGGCAACUCCAAAUAGUACAUCUGUUUCUAAGUUGUCUGAAAGAUAACGUGUGUCUUC
rnacentral:lncRNA from 1 species